rnacentral:rRNA from 1 species
UACGUAGGGUGCAAGCGUUGUCCGGAAUUAUUGGGCGUAAAGAGCGUGUAGGCGGCUCGAUUAGUCCGCUGUGAAAGUCCAGGGCUCAACCCUGGAAUGCCGGUGGAUCACGUGUCGAGCUAGAGCCGGAAGGGGCGAGUGGAAUUCCUGGUGUAGCGGUGAAAUGCGCAGAUAUCAGGAGGAACACCAAUGGCGAAGGCAGCUCGCUGGGACGUGACUGACGCUGAGACGCGAAAGCGUGGGUAGCAAACAGG